rnacentral:lncRNA from 1 species
AAAAAAAAAAAAGAAAAUUCAGCCACCAUCAUCAAGGGGAAAAUUCUGCAGCCCACCCCAUUCCGCGUCAUAUGGGGUCACACACAUUAGAUGUAUUGACCGAUCCGAUGGUUGAAUUAUGAUUAGAAAUCAAAAAUAAUUCAUAAUUAUCAAUUUGAUUGAUAAUUAGUGUAACCCACUAAGAGUUAGUGAGUUAAAGAAGGAAUAAUUGUAAUUAGAUUGCAAUUUAAUUGAAUCAAUUAAAUUUAAAUUAAUUGGACUUGAUCAUAUUAAAUUAGAGUCCUACUUGGAGUAGGAUUUCUAAAGUCCUAAUUGGAUUAGAACUGAAAUUUAAUAAGUCCUAAAU